rnacentral:rRNA from 1 species
UUCGUAGGCGGUGCAGCAAGUCGGGAGUGAAAUCUCUGGGCUUAACCCAGAGGCUGCUUCCGAAACUGCUGUGCUGGAGUGUGGGAGAGGCGCGUGGAAUUGCAGGUGUAGCGGUGAAAUGCGUAGAUAUCUGCAGGAACACCCGUGGCGAAAGCGGCGCGCUGGACCACUACUGACGCUGAGGAACGAAAGCUAGGGGAGCAAACAGGAUUAGAUACCCUGGUAGUCCUAGCCCUAAACGAUCAGGACUUGGGGUGCCGCCCGUUCGGGCGUCGUCCCGGAGCUAACGCGUUAAGUCCUGCACCUGGGGAGUACGGUCGCAAGACUGAA